rnacentral:lncRNA from 1 species
CGGGUCUCACUGUCACUGAUAGGACAGUAUGAACACCCUCUGCUCUGGGUAAAGGUAGUAGAGUCCCGGGAAAGGGACAGGGGGCCCAAGUGAUGCUCUGGGGUACUGGCGUGGGAGAGUGGAUUUCCGAAGCUGACAGAUGGGUAUUCUUUGACGGGGGGUAGGGGCGGAACCUGAGAGGCGUAAGGCGUUGUGAACCCUGGGGAGGGGGGCAGUUUGUAGGUCGCGAGGGAAGCGCUGAGGAUCAGGAAGGGGGCACUGAGUGUCCGUGGGGGAAUCCUCGUGAUAGGAACUGGAAUAUGCCUUGAGGGGGACACUAUGUCUUUAAAAACGUCGGCUGGUCAUGAGGUCAGGAGUUCCAGACCAGCCUGACCAACGUGGUGAAACUCCGUCUCUACUAAAAAUACAAAAAUUAGCCGGGCGUGGUGCCGCUCCAGCUACUCAGGAGGCUGAGGCAGGAGAAUCGCUAGAACCCGGGAGGCGGAGGUUGCAGUGAGCCGAGAUCGCGCCAUUGCACUCCAGCCUGGGCGACAGAGCGAGACUGUCUCAAAACAAAACAAAACAAAACAAAACAAAAAACACCGGCUGGUAUGUAUGAGAGGAUGGGACCUUGUGGAAGAAGAGGUGCCAGGAAUAUGUCUGGGAAGGGGAGGAGACAGGAUUUUGUGGGAGGGAGAACUUAAGAACUGGAUCCAUUUGCGCCAUUGAGAAAGCGCAAGAGGGAAGUAGAGGAGCGUCAGUAGUAACAGAUGCUGCCGGCAGGGAUGUGCUUGAGGAGGAUCCAGAGAUGAGAGCAGGUCACUGGGAAAGGUUAGGGGCGGGGAGGCCUUGAUUGGUG